AUUUAAUAUCAUAGUAUUAAGGAAUAUGUUUAGGACUGUUCAUAUUAUUAAUGCUAUUAUUAUAAGUUAAAAAAUUAUAAGUUUAAAACAAAUAAAAACAAACAUCAUGAGAACAAAUGUCUUUAAUGUAGGAAGACCUAAAGGAGUUAAUUAGUCAUUUAAAUAUGUAACCGUCCUUUGUAUGAAUUUCAUAUAUGAUUUAAUUUAGAAUAAAUAAAUAGCAGAGUUUUGAGACAUUUAGUGGACGGUGGAUAAUGUUUAAUGAAGUUGUUAAACACAUUAGUUUUCAGAUUAUUCUUAUUCUAAAUAUUCACUACCAAAGCAAACAGAGGAGACUGACAAACCACAUCACUUCUUUAUUCUCUUAAGGACUAUCAUAACAAUGACAUACGGAGC
rnacentral:lncRNA from 1 species